CCCCACGUUCGACCGCCCCUGAAAGAAGUUGUAAAAAUUAUAAUUAAUUUUAAUACUUCGAUUUGAUGAGGUACAUUUUUACAAAACCGAAUAAACACAAGGACGCACGCCGUGAUCAUAAUAUGCGCGCAAGUUCAAAUUGGAAAUAUUCAUAAAUUUGUCGGAAUGUUUUAAUCAAGUAAUCAAUAUCGUAUGUUAUCCCAUAAAUAGUAUGAAGUAUUCAAUAGACUCACAUUAUUUUUUAAUUUUUUUUUCAAGUAACACUUCUGUCAUAUUAUUAUCUAUUUAGUUAUUUAUUAUUAUAUUAGGCCUGGCCUAAUAAUUGGAUAAUAAUGGCUUUAAUCUAAUAAUUCCAAUCGUCUCGUUUAUUCGAAUGUUAUUAUUGAGGAAGGUAUCUAACAUAAUUAGAGACGUAAGUAUAGAUAAUUUAUGGUGGAGGGGUUUAAUGUCAUUAAUAUUAAUUAUUUUCUAAUAGAAAUAAAUUGGGAGUUGAAAACGAAUUGAAUUUCUGUAGUAAUUUUGAAACGGGAGAAGUUUUAUCCCAUCCUCUUACUUACGUCCUUGCCUACAAAUUAAAUAAUAAUUUAACAAUCUUAUAUUAAAAAAAAAUUGUAUUAUUCGAUUUUCGAAAACAAACACAAAGUUGACCAAGGAAUAAUAAGAUCUAAAAUAUAAAACUAGGUAUUACAUAACUUUUGAAAAUUUAAGUUGAUGGUAAAUACUAUAUAAUCGACUUAUUUACUAAAUAUUAUAUUUGAUACAGGUAUUUUUUCAAUUUUAAAACUGUUAAGGAAUAAAAGUUUCAAUAUGCAUAGGUCAGGAUCAUUCUACAGGUAGAUAUCCAACAACACUAUAAUUUUACCGAUAUUAUACACUACAGAUGAGAAUACCUAUUAUCUAUAUAGGUAAUUUUCCGGAAAAAAAUAAACAAUAUUUUGAUUAAAUCAGUCAACAUAAUUUGGUAGGUAACUAUAGUUAAUAUCUUAAACAUGUAACUAACUGAGAGAGCCCGUGGAAAAAGAAGACAAAUUAAUUUUUUUAAAUUUAUCUGGAAAUAAAAAAACAGUGUUCACAAUAAAACUGUUAUUUUUAAAUUCAAUUUUUACCAGUUUUUUCAAGCUAUUUAUAGAAUUAUAAGCUAUAUUUUUUUAAGUUAUCUUGUGUUAGUUCAGAAUUUUGUUGAAUCUCGUUAGAACUUAUCUAUAGAUAUUUACGAAUGAUUGAAUUCGUUUUGUUUAAUUGCACCAAAAUUAUAUGAGAAGAAUUACUGUCUCUAACAGAAAUCAUCAAAACAUGGAUUUUGCCGACAAGUGAAAUUAUAUUGUUUUUGUACGGGUUCUUUCUUCUAGCCUUACGACAUAACGAAAGUGAAUAUUUAUUUUUGGCGUUUUGCUGUUGAGAUAUUUGUCUCGCAAUAUUAAUAUUAUUAGGCAAUAAAUCAACAAAGUACCUAAAAACACUAGACUGCCAAACGUUAAAAAUGUUAUUUUAUUCUUUUAUGUUUUUUUCGUUCUAUCCCGAAUCGAUGGAUAUUUAUAACUCUUUUACAUAUAAUACUUCUUGGGAAUAAGAAUGCAAAUUUUGUAAUAUCAUAGGUAUUUAUACUUGUACGGUUGUAUCCUUAUAAUUAUACACUCUUGUAUAU
rnacentral:lncRNA from 1 species